GACUCCGCUCCGUAGCUCGGCGGACAGAUCGCCAGGGUGCGGCGGCGGGGAACCCCGGUUCGAAGCCGGCCGGAUCCGCCGCUCCCGAUGCGCCGGCCCCGCAUCCACGGCCCGCGAGGUCGAGACCCAGCCGCGACCCCGGAUACGGAGGGGAGUCUUU
rnacentral:ncRNA from 1 species